GGAACAACUGGACAAUUUGAGUGGAUUGGUAGAUAUAUUUAUCUCGGCCAUUCUCAAGGAACAGUUGAACAGUUUAUCUGUAAACUACACUUCCUCCAUUGAGCCAGUUUCUUGUUACAGUGAAGAUUUGCCUCAAAGUCAGGUGUCAAGUGAUACAUUUCAAGGGAUACCUGGUAAAGAAGAAAAUCGUGAGACUGAUACUUUCUUCUCUGAGAUACUUGAGCAAGUGAUGUACAGAUCUUCUGUACCCUGUUCAUCAGUGGAGAGGCUUUCUUAUAGUAGUGAAGUCACUGAUGAAGUAUUAGAGCUGCGAACUACAGAAGACCAAGUUCCCCUCGAACUUCAGUGCCAGCCCAGUGGAGAGUUGAGAGUGGCUUCCCUUCCUUUCUCUUUCUCCGAUUUGCCCUCAAAUUUGGUAUACUCUGACAGAAUGCUCCAUGAGAGGAUCCGAGCUGAUGAUCCGAAUCAGCUUCAUGAAGAUAUUCAGAGUUACAUGUCCUCUUUGGAUGAGACUAACUUGCCCCAAGCUGAGGUGUCAGAUGUGAAACAGAUAGUGCAGUCAUGCAUUUUGGAUCAGCCUACUGGAACAUCUGCAGUGAGGGAGUCCCUAGUCAUUGUCACUGACAAGAUGAAGACAUUACCGCCUAGUGUACCUUCUUUAUCAUGUGAGGGGACAACACCUACAACAGAGGAAAAUCAUAGCUUCCCUCAGCCACAGGGUAAAUUCUGGGACUACAGGUUUCAUUUCAUAACCAAGUUGAGGAUCAAGACCAAGCACUUUAAAAACAGAAUAGAGUCACAGGAGUCACAAAUACAGUCCAGUGACAACUUUGAAGUAUUGCUCAUUCCUUCAGAAGUCAAGGGGAAGACUUUACCUCCUAGUGUCCCUUCCCUAUUGGGGGAGGAAGCACUGCCUGGAACAGAAAGUGAUCACAGCCUCCCUGAGCCACAGGGUCGAUAUAAAUGGAGGGUCAACAAGUUCCAUUUGGUACCCAAGUUCAGGACCAAGACCCAGCACCACAAACACAGGGUGGAGACACAAAUACAGGCUUCUGAGACCUCUGAAAUAUUGGAUUAUCCUUCAGAAGUCAAGGGGAAGACUUUACCUGCUAUUGUCUCUUCCCCAUCGUGGGGGAAAACACUGCCUGCAGUAGAGGGGGAUCACAGCCUCCCUGAGCCACAGAGUUGGUAUAAAUGGAGGGUCAGCAAGUUCCAUUUGGUACCCAAGUUCAGGACCAAGCACCAGCACCACAAAAACAAGGUGGAGAUACAAAUACAGGCUGCUGAAACCUCUGAAGUAUUGGAUAUUCUUUCAGAAGUCAAGGGGAAGACUUUACCUCCUAGUGUCCCUUCCCUAUGGGGGGAGAGAACACUGCCUGGAGCAGAAAGUGAUCACAGCCUCCCUGAGCCACAGGGUCGAUAUAAAUGGAGGGUCAGCAAGUUCUAUUUGGUACCCAAGUUCAGGACCAAGACCCAGCUCCACAAAAACAGGGUGGAGAGACAAAUACAGGCUGCUGAGACCUCUGAGGUAUUGGAUAUUCCUUCAGAAUUCAAGGGGUGGACUUUACCUCCUAGUGACCCUUACCCAUCGUGGGAAGAAACACUGCCUGCAACAGAAAAUGACCACAGCCUCCCUCAGCCACAGGGUCGGUAUACAUGGAGGGUCAGCAAGUUCCAUUUGGUACCCAAGUUCAGGACCAAGAUGAGGCACCGCAAAACCAAGGUGGAGACACAAAAACAGCCCGCUGAGACUUCUGAAGUGCCGGAUUUUCCCUCAGAAGUCAAGGGGAAGACUUUACCUCCUACUGUCCCUUCCCCAUCGUGGGAGCAAACACUGCCUUCAACAGAAGGGUAUCACAGCCUCCCUCAACCACACGUUCAGUAUAACUGGAGGGUCAGCAAGUUUCAUUUGGUAUCCAAGUUCAAGAUCCAGACCAAGCACUUCAAAAAUAGGGUGGAGCCACUAAUACAGUCUACUGAGAACACUAAUGUAUUGUAUAUUCCUUCAGGUAAGUAUAAACUAGUGUAUAAACAUAUGGAAUAGUCUGCACAAUGAAUAACAGAAUCAAGCAGCAUAUAUAAGUGUUAAACAGUGCUUGUCAUUGUACCUCACCAAUUAACUGUUGUAUUGAAAUAAUUAUUUUUAUAAUAGAUCAGUAUGAGAGAUGGUUCUAAUGUUAAUUGGGUGGUAAUAUAUUGUAUAUCCUGGUGGAGUCUGGUCCUCAGGAACUGUAACUGGACACCCCAGUUAUAGAGUAAAUAUAUAUGAAUUAUUUACUACCAUUUCAGCAAACCAGUGCUAUUGCUCUUUACAUGUUUUUUCCCUGCUCCUCUACUGAGAGAAAGCGCCACCCAGUCAUCAUCAUUUGCAAGAAUGUUAUCUACCAUCUUUCGACGUUUCAGCUGUUUCAAGUGUCAUUCCAGGCUCUGAUGAUUGUUCUUUUUAUUUUGACCUCUUCAAUCUGUCCUAUUGUCAAUCUAAUUGUAAUAAUUGAUAACCUUCACUAGCUUUGCUGUUUAUUCUGAGAUUAAAUCUGUCUAUAUUUACAUUUAUUAAAUUAGCAGACGCUUCCUCCAAAGUGAUGUACAUCUCAUAGAAAAUAUGUGUGCAUCACAUUAGCAUAAAGAGACACUUAGAUGCAAAUGCACACACUGUCUGAACCGCUUGUCCCACAUGGGGUUGCGGGGAGCCGGCGCCUAACUCGGCA
rnacentral:lncRNA from 1 species